rnacentral:lncRNA from 1 species
CUUCCCCCCACUGAGUAACCUGGAGAUUUAAAAGCUGCCCGCUGGCGCGCGUUGGGGAAGCAGGGGUCCGGGCUCGCACGCGCCAGCCCCAGGUGACAGCCGCGCGCCGGGCCAGGGUCCGACUGACGAGAUGUGUCCCCAUCAAGCAAGGCACUAGAUGGUGACGUGUUCAGUGUGGGAUGAGAUGCCGAAGUGGUACUCAAGGGCUGGCCGAAAUGGGAGCCUGGCUGCACCCUCGGAGGUUGGUGCUAGCAAGGAGGAGAAGCCGCGGCAGGGCUGACUCAAAACAGCUGUGGAGUGUGUGAAUGGCCCCCGGACCCCUAACCGCCCUGUCCAUCAUGAUCCAGAGGCUGUGGGCCAGCCGUCUGCUAAGGCAUCGGAAAGCCCAGCUCCUGCUGGUCAACCUGCUAACCUUCGGCCUGGAGGUGUGCCUGGCUGCUGGCAUUACCUAUGUGCCACCCCUUCUGCUGGAAGUCGGGGUAGAGGAAAAGUUCAUGACCAUGGUGUUGGGCAUUGGCCCAGUGCUGGGCCUGGUUUCUGUUCCACUCCUAGGCUCAGCCAGUGACCAGUGGCGUGGGCGCUAUGGCCGCCGGAGACCCUUUAUCUGGGCUCUGUCCCUGGGUGUCCUGCUAAGCCUCUUCCUCAUCCCGAGGGCCGGCUGGCUGGCAGGGCUACUGUGUUCAGAUACUAGGCCCCUGGAGUUGGCCCUGCUCAUCUUGGGAGUGGGGCUGCUGGACUUUUGCGGCCAGGUGUGCUUUACUCCACUGGAGGCCUUACUC